AGAGGUCAAGGGGUUGGACUCAAGUUCCAAUGUGUUCGCACUCGCGGGUUCGAACCCCGCCCUCA
rnacentral:tRNA from 16 species